ACGGAAGGCAGCAGUAGGGAAUCUUCCACAAUGGACGCAAGUCUGAUGGAGCAACGCCGCGUGAAUGAAGCAGGCCUUCGGGUCGUAAAAUUCUGAUGUUAGAGAAGAACAUGCAGGAGAGUAACUGUUCUCGUAUUGACGGUAUCUAACCAGAAAGCCACGGCUAACUACGUGCCAGCAGCCGCGGUAAUACGUAGGUGGCAAGCGUUGUCCGGAUUUAUUGGGCGUAAAGGGAACGCAGGCGGUUUUUUAAGUCUGAUGUGAAAGCCUUCGGCUCAACCGAAGAAUUGCAUUGGAAACUGGAAGACUUGAGUGCAGAAGAGGAGAGUGGAACUCCAUGUGUAGCGGUGGAAUGCGUAGAUAUAUGGAAGAACACCAGUGGCGAAAGCGGCUCUCUGGUCUGUAACUGACGCUGAGGUUCGAAAGCGUGGGGAGCAAACAGGAUUAGAUACCCUGGUA
rnacentral:rRNA from 1 species